rnacentral:rRNA from 1 species
CCCGGGCCUUGUACACACCGCCCGUCACACCACGAAAGUUGGCAACACCCGAAGCCAGUGGCCCAACCCUUUUGGGAGGGAGCUGUCGAAGGUGGGGUGAGCGAUUGGGGUG